rfam:Brachyspira sp. CAG:484 genomic scaffold, scf204
GGAGUAAUGGCCGAGUGGCUGAAGGCGGCACCCUGCUAAGGUGUUAUGUGGGUCUAACCUGCAUCUAGGGUUCAAAUCCCUAUUACUCCG